ACAUGUGAUAAGCUUUUCUGCAUACAAGCCCAAAGGCUUUCAAGCUAAUCAGAAGGUUUCAUUCAGAUGGCGAGUGGACAGCUGUCGAGGGCGGAGGCGUUAGCGUGCUCAGGCUGCAAGCAUGCGUGCCACGUGAUGCUCUACUGUGACACGAAAUCUAAGCUGUUUGGGAAGUUUCCCAUCAAACAUAUCAUACUGAUGCAGAUGCGCUUUGACGGUCUGCUGGGUUUCCCUGGCGGGUGAGUCUUUCCUGGUGCUGCUGUUGUUUAUUCCUUUUAUGUGCACACAGGUAUGUUUAGUUGAGGUUCGUAUGUCUCUUAUGUCAAAAGAUAUAAAUAAAGCUGCACAG